rnacentral:sRNA from 1 species
GCCGGGCACGGUGGCGCAUGCCUGUAAUUCUAGCAGCUAGGGAGGCUGAGGCAGGAGGAUCGCGAGUUUGAGGCUGGCCUCGGCAUUUUGGUGAGACCCUCU